UACGUAGGGUGCGAGCGUUAAUCGGAAUUACUGGGCGUAAAGGGUGCGCAGGCGGCUCCGCAUGUCGGGCGUGAAAUCCCCGGGCUUAACCUGGGAACUUGCGUCCGAAACUUAUGGAGCCUGGAGUGUGGCAGAGGGAGGUGGAAUUCCACGUGUAGCGGUGAAAUGCGUAGAGAUGUGGAGGAACACCGAUGGCGAAGGCAGCCUCCUGGGCCAACACUGACGCUCAUGCACGAAGCGUGGGGAGCAAACAGG
rnacentral:rRNA from 1 species